rnacentral:rRNA from 1 species
GACAGAGGGUGCAAACGUUGCUCGGAAUUACUGGGCGUAAAGCGCGUGUAGGUGGAUUGGUGUGUCAGAUGUGAAAUCCCUGGGCUCAACCCAGGAACUGCACCUGAAACUACCAGUCUUGAGUGGUGGAGAGGGAAGUGGAAUUCCUGGUGUAGAGGUGAAAUUCGUAGAUAUCAGGAGGAACACCAGUGGCGAAGGCGGCUUCCUGGACACCAACUGACGCUGAGGCGCGAAAGCCAGGGGAGCAAACGGG